GAUUAGUGGCGAACGGGUGAGUAACACGUGAGUAACCUGCCCUUGACUCUGGGAUAAGCGUUGGAAACGACGUCUAAUACCGGAUACGAACCGCGAAGGCAUCUUCAGUGGUUGGAAAGAAUUUUGGUCAAGGAUGGACUCGCGGCCUAUCAGGUAGUUGGUGAGGUAAUGGCUCACCAAGCCUACGACGGGUAGCCGGCCUGAGAGGGUGACCGGCCACACUGGGACUGAGACACGGCCCAGACUCCUACGGGAGGCAGCAGUGGGGAAUAUUGCACAAUGGGCGAAAGCCUGAUGCAGCAACGCCGCGUGAGGGACGACGGCCUUCGGGUUGUAAACCUCUUUUAGCAGGGAAGAAGCGAAAGUGACGGUACCUGCAGAAAAAGCACCGGCUAACUACGUGCCAGCAGCCGCGGUAAUACGUAGGGUGCAAGCGUUGUCCGGAAUUAUUGGGCGUAAAGAGCUCGUAGGCGGUUUGUCGCGUCUGCUGUGAAAACUGGAGGCUCAACCUCCAGCCUGCAGUGGGUACGGGCAGACUAGA
rnacentral:rRNA from 1 species